GUGCGUGUAGCUCAGUUGGUUAGAGCGAUACUCUGUGGAAGUAUAGGCCGUGGGUUCAAAUCCCAUCUCGCACCCCA
rnacentral:tRNA from 1 species